rnacentral:rRNA from 1 species
UCGGACGCGAACGGGGCUUCGGCCCUCAGUAGAGUGGCGCACGGGUGAGUAACGCGUAGGUAAUCUCCCUCUGGAUUGGGGAUAACUCUGCGAAAGCGGAGCUAAUACCGAAUGGUCUGGCUUUAUUUCGAUGAAGUCGGUAAAGGAUGCCUCUGCAUAUGCAUCUGUCCAGAGAUGAGCCUGCGUCCCAUUAGCUAGUUGGUAGGGUAAAGGCCUACCAAGGCGACGAUGGGUAGCUGGUCUGAGAGGAUGAUCAGCCACACUGGAACUGGAACACGGUCCAGACUCCUACGGGAGGCAGCAGUGGGGAAUAUUGGGCAAUGGGCGCAAGCCUGACCCAGCAACGCCGUGUGAGGGAUGAAGGCCUUCGGGUCGUAAACCUCUGUCAGAAGGGAAGAACGGGCACAGUUCGAAUAGGGCUGUGUUGUGACGGUACCUUCAGAGGAAGUCACGGCUAACUCCGUGCCAGCAGCCGCGGUAAUACGUAGGUGACAAGCGUUAUUCGGAAUCACUGGGCGUAAAGCGCACGCAGGCGGCUGAUUAAGUCUGACGUGAAAUCUCCUGGCUUAACUGGGAGGGGUCGUUGGAAACUGGUCGGCUUGAGGCAGUGAGAGGGGUGUGGAAUUCCCGGUGUAGUGGUGGAAUGCGUAGAUAUCGGGAGGAACACCAGUGGCGAAAGCGGCGCCCUGGCACUGGCCUGACGCUCAUGUGCGAAAGCGUGGGGAGCGAACGGGAUUAGAUACCCCGGUAGUCCACGCUGUAAACGAUGAGUACUGGGUGUGGGUGGAGUCAAAUCUAUCCGUGCCGAAGCAAACGCGCUAAGUACUCCGCCUGGGGAGUACGGCCGCAAGGCUACUGUCG